rnacentral:rRNA from 1 species
UACGUAGGGACCAAGCGUUGUUCGGAUUUACUGGGCGUAAAGGGCGCGUAGGCGGCUUGACAAGUCACUUGUGAAAUCUCCGGGCUUAACUCGGAACGGCCAAGUGAAACUGUCAUGCUAGAGUGCAGAAGGGGCAAUCGGAAUUCUUGGUGUAGCGGUGAAAUGCGUAGAUAUCGAGAGGAACACCUGCGGCGAAGGCGGGUUGCUGGGCUGACACUGACGCUGAUGCGCGAAAGCUAGGGGAGCGAACGGG